CACCCUCCGGCACGUGCAGUCGUCGUGCAGGAGCUUGCACGCGCAGCCCAAAGCGAGGGGGAGGGGGAGAGGAGAAGGGGAAGAGGGAAACGGCGGAGGAGAAGGAGAAGGAGUGGAGGAGGGAGAUGAGCGCGCUCACUCAGCAUCAGCAACACACACACACACGCACAAAGAGGUCGGAGAGCUGGCUCGUGAAUGGGAGAUGACGGAGCGCUGCAGGACGCGCUCAGAACAGGACUGAUACUCGCAUCCAUCAUACACACAGGGAGGUAAAAAAGCUCUCCGUAACCAUGGUGAUGGACAGUAAGGAGGCUAAGCAUGACGUGCGUGUAGAAGUAACCCUAUCUGAAGGCCCAGGUAAACAGAGCAGACGUCUUAAAGAGACAGUAAAUGUAGCGGUUAAAGGUGAUAAUUACCUUAUUUAAGCACUGUCUCUUUAAGAAGAGUGUGAUGCUGAUGGGUUGUAAGUGGUCAUUUAAGCUUCUUACAAAAACCCAUCCAGGACUUGUGUGCCGUGCUCUGCGCUCUAAUCAUGUGCCUCCGAUUUAUACCAUUGCUGUGUAUUGAAUGACGCUGUGCAUCUUGUGAUACUACAUAUUAUUACCUUUCCAUGAUUUAUAUUUAAAUUAUAUUCAAAUCUAUUCCAGGUUUGGAAGUAGUGUUGAGUCAAUAGAAUGCUGCACUCAGCGAAUAAGGCAGUUAUGCGCCAUAUUUAGCUGCACUAUAGUAUAUUGAGCAUUACAAUAUUGAGCUAAAGAAUGGUAUCAGAGAUGAAUAUCUCUUGAUGUAUUGGAGAUUUUGCUUGUAUGAUGCUUGAGAACCAGGCAAUUUUAUUCGAACCCUCUCCACACACCCAGAACAGUGUUAUUCAGGAUGUGUAGUGCAUGUAGUAUAGUGUUAGACCAUGCUGUAGUAACUGAAUGCAGAAAUCCAACUCAUCACAAUUUCCGUGACUCUAACACAAGAAUUUACAGGUUUGCAGAUUGGACUUUAUUGGACGUUUAAUAAACAAUGAAAUCUCAAGUGCCAAGUAUUAGUGCUGUACACUAUGUCACAUAAUACGACAUACUGUACAGGAGUUACAAUGACAUGAGGUGAGAGAGCUCUUCUUCCUUCAUGGAUGCUAACAACCGUACCUCCAGUUCAGUGUAUGCGUUACUAAGUGGAGCUCUCAACACUGAUAUCGUUUAAUAGAUUUCUUUAUGUAUUAAGUAUGUCUAAAUGGCCAGCGGUAUGAAUCUUCAGCAUUCCCUGAUUGUCAGUGUUGGUAAUUAAAUGAAAUUUUGAGGUUUAUUAACAGGAUAGAUACAAAUCCAAAAAUCAUCAACAAUAAGCCAGUCCUGGUCAUACACAGAAUAUCAGAGGGCAAACAGAAUCCAAUUCACAAAUCCAAAGUUCAGGUCAAGGUACUUUUUUCUUUUAGCCAUUAUUCUACACACUGCAGUUGAUGUUACUGCAGUUCUCCUGCAAUGCUCAGAAAUCAUUCAUGGUUUCAGGAGGGACAUUAGACAAGCGAUUUGUAAAAGGAUUAUUAUGAAAAUAUAGUGUUAUUUUUCUUACUGUUCAUGUUGUUUACCACCCUCCACGGUUCUGCUGCAUUAUAAGACCGUUUUUGUUGAGAUGGGGCAAAAAAAGGGAAGUGGGGCUCAAUGGGAAAAAGUUUUAAUACCUCUGGC
ensembl:lncRNA